rnacentral:rRNA from 1 species
AGUGGAUUAGCGGCGGACGGGUGAGUAACACGUGGGUAACCUGCCUCAAAGUGGGGGAUAGCCUUCCGAAAGGAAGAUUAAUACCGCAUAACAUAAGAGAAUCGCAUGAUUUUCUUAUCAAAGAUUUAUUGCUUUGAGAUGGACCCGCGGCGCAUUAGCUAGUUGGUAAGGUAACGGCUUACCAAGGCAACGAUGCGUAGCCGACCUGAGAGGGUGAUCGGCCACAUUGGAACUGAGACACGGUCCAGACUCCUACGGGAGGCAGCAGUGGGGAAUAUUGCGCAAUGGGGGAAACCCUGACGCAGCAACGCCGCGUGGGUGAUGAAGGUCUUCGGAUUGUAAAGCCCUGUUUUCUGGGACGAUAAUGACGGUACCAGAGGAGGAAGCCACGGCUAACUACGUGCCAGCAGCCGCGGUAAUACGUAGGUGGCGAGCGUUGUCCGGAUUUACUGGGCGUAAAGGGUGCGUAGGCGGAUGUUUAAGUGGGAUGUGAAAUCCCCGGGCUUAACCUGGGGGCUGCAUUCCAAACUGGAUAUCUAGAGUGCAGGAGAGGAAAGCGGAAUUCCUAGUGUAGCGGUGAAAUGCGUAGAGAUUAGGAAGAACACCAGUGGCGAAGGCGGCUUUCUGGACUGUAACUGACGCUGAGGCACGAAAGCGUGGGUAGCAAACAGGAUUAGAUACCCUGGUAGUCCACGCCGUAAACGAUGGAUACUAGGUGUAGGGGGUAUCAACUCCCCCUGUGCCGCAGUUAACACAAUAAGUAUCCCGCCUGGGGAGUACGGUCGCAAGAUUAAAACUCAAAGGAAUUGACGGGGGCCCGSMCAAGCAGCGGAGCAUGUGGUUUAAUUCGAAGCAACGCGAAGAACCUUACCUGGACUUGACAUCCCUUGCAUAGCCUAGAGAUAGGUGAAGCCCUUCGGGGCAAGGAGACAGGUGGUGCAUGGUUGUCGUCAGCUCGUGUCGUGAGAUGUUAGGUUAAGUCCUGCAACGAGCGCAACCCUUGUUAUUAGUUGCUACCAUUAAGUUGAGCACUCUAAUGAGACUGCCUGGGUAACCAGGAGGAAGGUGGGGAUGACGUCAA